rnacentral:rRNA from 1 species
AUUGAACGCUGGCGGCAUGCCUUACACAUGCAAGUCGAACGGCAGCACGGGUGCUUGCACCUGGUGGCGAGUGGCGAACGGGUGAGUAAUACAUCGGAACAUGUCCUGUAGUGGGGGAUAGCCCGGCGAAAGCCGGAUUAAUACCGCAUACGAUCUACGGAUGAAAGUGGGGGACCUUCGGGCCUCGCGCUAUAGGGUUGGCCGAUGGCUGAUUAGCUAGUUGGUGGGGUAAAGGCCUACCAAGGCGACGAUCAGUAGCUGGUCUGAGAGGACGACCAGCCACACUGGGACUGAGACACGGCCCAGACUCCUACGGGAGGCAGCAGUGGGGAAUUUUGGACAAUGGGCGAAAGCCUGAUCCAGCAAUGCCGCGUGUGUGAAGAAGGCCUUCGGGUUGUAAAGCACUUUUGUCCGGAAAGAAAUCCUUGGCCCUAAUACGGUCGGGGGAUGACGGUACCGGAAGAAUAAGCACCGGCUAACUACGUG